GACAGAGGGUGCAACCGUUGCUCGGAAUCACUGGGCGUAAAGGGCGUGUAGGCGGGCAUGUAAGUCGGGCGUGAAAUCCCUAGGCUCAACCUAGGAACUGCACUCGAAACUGCGUUUCUUGAGUAUCGGAGAGGAAAGCGGAAUACCUGGUGUAGAGGUGAAAUUCGUAGAUAUCAGGUGGAACACCAGUGGCGAAGGCGGCUUUCUGGACGAUAACUGACGCUGAGACGCGAAAGCGUGGGGAGCAAACAGG
rnacentral:rRNA from 1 species